UACGGAAGGCAGCAGUGGGGAAUAUUGCACAAUGGGCGCAAGCCUGAUGCAGCCAUGCCGCGUGUAUGAAAAAGGCCUUCGGGUUGUAAAGUACUUUCAGUCGUGAGGAAGGUGUUAAGGUUAAUAACCUUAGCAAUUGACGUUAGCGACAGAAGAAGCACCGGCUAACUCCGUGCCAGCAGCCGCGGUAAUACGGAGGGUGCGAGCGUUAAUCGGAAUUACUGGGCGUAAAGGGCACGCAGGCGGUUAAUUAAGUUGGAUGUGAAAUCCCCGGGCUUAACCUGAGAAUGGCAUUCAAGACUGGUUAGCUAGAGUCUUGUAGAGGGGGUAGAAUUCCAUGUGUAGCGGUGAAAUGCGUAGAGAUGUGGAGGAAUACCGGUGGCGAAGGCGGCCCCUGGGACAAAGGACUGACGCUCAUGUGCGAAAGCGUGGGGAGCAAAC
rnacentral:rRNA from 1 species